AGGGAGGAAGGUAGUGUAGUUAACACCUGCAUAUUUGACGUUACCUACAGAAGAAGCACCGGCUAACUCCGUGCCAGCAGCCGCGGUAAUACGGAGGGUGCGAGCGUUAAUCGGAAUUACUGGGCGUAAAGCGCAUGCAGGCGGCCUGUUAAGUCAGAUGUGAAAGCCCCGGGGCUUAACCUCGGAAUUGCAUUUGAAAACUGGCAGGCUAGAGUCUUGUAGAGGGGGUAGAAUUUCAGGUGUAGCGGUGAAAUGCGUAGAGAUCUGAAGGAAUACCAGUGGCGAAGGCGGCCCCCUGGACAAAGACUGACGCUCAGAUGCGAAAGCGUGGGGAGCAAACAGGAUUAGAUACCCUGGUAG
rnacentral:rRNA from 1 species